GUUAGGAACAUGAGUAUCAGAGGUAAACACAAAAUCUCAGACAGGUGGGAACAGAAAGUACAUGUUGUGGUUAAACGCAUCAAUGAUGGCCCUGUCUAUGUUGUGGAACCCGAGUUGGGAGACGGGCCAAAACGCACCUUACACAGGGAUCUCCUUCUACCGUGUGGGUUCUUACCUGUGGAAGAAAUAGCAGGGAGCAGAUCUCAUGAGCCCUCUAAAGGGAAGAAACUGAGGAACAAAGCCGAAAGAGAAGUAUAAUCUUCUGAUAACCCUGAUGGUCAGGAAGAUGAGGUAUACAGUGAUGAGGACGAAGUAUAUCCAGCUUUUGUGGUUCCAGAAAUAAUAACCAGAGGUCCUUUUAUCCAGACUGAAAGGCAGGUUAUCACACCUCAGUUGUCCACUAGGGAUGUGCAUUUUAGCUUGCCCCGUGCAGAGCGGCAAGACGAGUCACAUGCACAAGAAACAGCUGGUCAUGUUUCUGAACCUGAACCUUCGUUACACUCAGAGAGCAAUGAGGUGACCACAUCUCCCAUUCCAUCUGAUGAAGGUCCAGGUUGGGUUGUUAUUGACAUUCCUGAACAGACAGAACCUGUUGAAAUGAAUCAAGAGAGCACCAACACUGCUGAGCAGAGUUCAGAGCCAGAGACAGUAGAGUUGCGGCGUUCUGGGAGAGAGAGACGCCAACGUCGUAAACUAACUUAUGAUGAGUUAGGUGAGUCUUUAAUUUUAGCUCUCAGUUCCUUUUUGUCAGAGUUUCGCAACUGUAUUCUCUCAGAGCACUUUCCUUCACACACCUGUUAAGUCAAGUGUGCAUGCAGAGACUCAUGCAAUUUAGAGGGGGAGAGUGUAACCCAGGUAAUUUUUUGAGUAUGGGAUUUCUGAUUAUUUGGUAGUCACUGAACGCACCACUGUGCCUUGCCCAUAGCCACCACUAGUUUAGCCACAGAGUUUUUCCUUCCGUUCGUCCGAUGAGGCGCAUGCUGCUCUCGUGCCCUCUGCGAGCUGGAAAUUCGGGAAAAGGAGUCUUGUAGCUGUUACGAACGUGAAGCUGAGCUGAAUCCGACAGCCAUUCGCCAUUACAUGAACCCCUCUGGCUGGUUUGUUUGCCCUUUUGGUGCCCUGGAUCCUACUGGAUGAACUGCCUUGUGGAAGUCCUCAUCUGAUGACUCUGCUGGACCGUCCUGGCUAGUCGAUGGUCAUUACUACGGGUGGAUGCUUCUGCUUGCUGGAUGGUAUUAUUGGACACUACGCCAUUCCAACAGAGCGGUAGGAACAAUUCAAAGGGCCCCAACGAUGCACUUUACUUUUCCCUGAGCUCAGGUGGUUUUCUUUUGGCCAAAGGACCUUGAAGGAUACAUAUAUUUGCAAUUGUUUUUAUCUUUUUUUUCUUGGGACGCUGAGUGGAAAGACACUACAAAAAAGGGCUUAUUAUUUAAAAUUGUGUCUAAUAAAUGUGUUAUGUUAAGUGAGUGUGUUGUCCAUUGUGUGCUGGAAGCCUUACUGUUCCUGUGGUGGAGCAGCUACUACCAAUCUCCUUUACGAAACUAGCCUCUGAUGGGAUACAGAUAUUUGGGACACAUUUGAAUUCUUGUAACCUAUUUCUAGAGAAGCUGUGAUUCUGGGCCUAGACAUCGGGGUGAAAUUGAUGAUACCGACACCUAGUGAACUGCCCAAGGUCAACAGUCCUGAUUUCCA